UACGUAGGGGUCGCAGGCGUUAAUCGGAAUUACUGGGCAUAAAGCGUGCGCAGGCGGUCUGCUAAGAGAGGUGUGAAAUCCCCGGGCUUAACCUGGGAACUGCGCUUCUAACUGGCAGGCUUGAGUGUGGCAGAGGGGGGGUGGAAUUCCACGUGUAGCAGUGAAAUGCGUAGAGAUGUGGAGGAACACCGAUGGCGAAGGCAGCCCCCUGGGCUAAC
rnacentral:rRNA from 1 species